UACGAGAGGUCCAAACGUUAUUCGGAAUUACUGGGCUUACAGAGUUCGUAGGCGGCUCUACAAGUUGGGUGUGAAAGCCCUGGGCUCAACCCAGGAAGUGCAUUCAAAACUACUUUGCUUGAAUCUCGGAGGGGGUCAGAGAAUUCCCGGUGUAGAGGUGAAAUUCGUAGAUAUCGGGAGGAAUACCAGUGGCGAAGGCGCUGACCUGGACGAAGAUUGACGCUGAGGUGCGAAAGCGUGGGGAGCAAACAGG
rnacentral:rRNA from 1 species